rnacentral:tRNA from 1 species
GCCCGUAUAGCUCAGCUGGUAGAGCAUUGUACUUAUGAGGUUAACUGGCCAAUGCAAGGGUCUCGAGUUCGACUCUCGAUAUGGGCA